rnacentral:misc_RNA from 1 species
GAAAACCUCCUUCGCUAAUAAGAGGUCCAACAGAACAUGCAAUGGCUAAAUUCUAAGAGAGAGAGAGAGAGAUAAGUUUACUGACCCUAGAUUCCAUAAAAUGGAGACAAAAGUUCAGAGGCUUGAUCUUAAAAGGAGAUUAAGCCUGGAAAAGAGCAAAACAUCAAGAGGCUAAAAGCAAGGAUGGCUGCAGAUUUCUCCUUUCCCCUGAAGUA